rnacentral:siRNA from 1 species
UCAGCGACGGACCGGGCCUAA